ACCGGCGAUUUCCGAAUGGGGAAACCCAGUGUGUUUCGACACACUAUCAUUAACUGAAUCCAUAGGUUAAUGAGGCGAACCGGGGGAACUGAAACAUCUAAGUACCCCGAGGAAAAGAAAUCAACCGAGAUUCCCCCAGUAGCGGCGAGCGAACGGGGAGGAGCCCAGAGCCUGAAUCAGUGUGUGUGUUAGUGGAAGCGUCUGGAAAGGCGUGCGAUACAGGGUGACAGCCCCGUACACAAAAAUGCACAUAUUGUGAGCUCGAUGAGUAGGGCGGGACACGUGGUAUCCUGUCUGAAUAUGGGGGGACCAUCCUCCAAGGCUAAAUACUCCUGACUGACCGAUAGUGAACCAGUACCGUGAGGGAAAGGCGAAAAGAACCCCGGCGAGGGGAGUGAAAAAGAACCUGAAACCGUGUACGUACAAGCAGUGGGAGCCUCUUAAUGGGGUGACUGCGUACCUUUUGUAUAAUGGGUCAGCGACUUAUAUUCUGUAGCAAGGUUAACCGAAUAGGGGAGCCGAAGGGAAACCGAGUCUUAACUGGGCGUUAAGUUGCAGGGUAUAGACCCGAAACCCGGUGAUCUAGCCAUGGGCAGGUUGAAGGUUGGGUAACACUAACUGGAGGACCGAACCGACUAAUGUUGAAAAAUUAGCGGAUGACUUGUGGCUGGGGGUGAAAGGCCAAUCAAACCGGGAGAUAGCUGGUUCUCCCCGAAAGCUAUUUAGGUAGCGCCUCGUGAAUUCAUCUCCGGGGGUAGAGCACUGUUUCGGCAAGGGGGUCAUCCCGACUUACCAACCCGAUGCAAACUGCGAAUACCGGAGAAUGUUAUCACGGGAGACACACGGCGGGUGCUAACGUCCGUCGUGAAGAGGGAAACAACCCAGACCGCCAGCUAAGGUCCCAAAGUCAUGGUUAAGUGGGAAACGAUGUGGGAAGGCCCAGACAGCCAGGAUGUUGGCUUAGAAGCAGCCAUCAUUUAAAGAAAGCGUAAUAGCUCACUGGUCGAGUCGGCCUGCGCGGAAGAUGUAACGGGGCUAAACCAUGCACCGAAGCUGCGGCAGCGACGCUUAUGCGUUGUUGGGUAGGGGAGCGUUCUGUAAGCCUGUGAAGGUGGCCUGUGAGGGUUGCUGGAGGUAUCAGAAGUGCGAAUGCUGACAUAAGUAACGAUAAAGCGGGUGAAAAGCCCGCUCGCCGGAAGACCAAGGGUUCCUGUCCAACGUUAAUCGGGGCAGGGUGAGUCGACCCCUAAGGCGAGGCCGAAAGGCGUAGUCGAUGGGAAACAGGUUAAUAUUCCUGUACUUGGUGUUACUGCGAAGGGGGGACGGAGAAGGCUAUGUUGGCCGGGCGACGGUUGUCCCGGUUUAAGCGUGUAGGCUGGUUUUCCAGGCAAAUCCGGAAAAUCAAGGCUGAGGCGUGAUGACGAGGCACUACGGUGCUGAAGCGACAAAUGCCCUGCUUCCAGGAAAAGCCUCUAAGCAUCAGGUAACAUCAAAUCGUACCCCAAACCGACACAGGUGGUCAGGUAGAGAAUACCAAGGCGCUUGAGAGAACUCGGGUGAAGGAACUAGGCAAAAUGGUGCCGUAACUUCGGGAGAAGGCACGCUGAUAUGUAGGUGAAGCGACUUGCUCGUGGAGCUGAAAUCAGUCGAAGAUACCAGCUGGCUGCAACUGUUUAUUAAAAACACAGCACUGUGCAAACACGAAAGUGGACGUAUACGGUGUGACGCCUGCCCGGUGCCGGAAGGUUAAUUGAUGGGGUUAGCGGUAACGCGAAGCUCUUGAUCGAAGCCCCGGUAAACGGCGGCCGUAACUAUAACGGUCCUAAGGUAGCGAAAUUCCUUGUCGGGUAAGUUCCGACCUGCACGAAUGGCGUAAUGAUGGCCAGGCUGUCUCCACCCGAGACUCAGUGAAAUUGAACUCGCUGUGAAGAUGCAGUGUACCCGCGGCAAGACGGAAAGACCCCGUGAACCUUUACUAUAGCUUGACACUGAACAUUGAGCCUUGAUGUGUAGGAUAGGUGGGAGGCUUUGAAGUGUGGACGCCAGUCUGCAUGGAGCCGACCUUGAAAUACCACCCUUUAAUGUUUGAUGUUCUAACGUGGGCCCCUUACCGGGGUUGCGGACAGUGUCUGGUGGGUAGUUUGACUGGGGCGGUCUCCUCCUAAAGAGUAACGGAGGAGCACGAAGGUUGGCUAAUCCUGGUCGGACAUCAGGAGGUUAGUGCAAUGGCAUAAGCCAGCUUGACUGCGAGCGUGACGGCGCGAGCAGGUGCGAAAGCAGGUCAUAGUGAUCCGGUGGUUCUGAAUGGAAGGGCCAUCGCUCAACGGAUAAAAGGUACUCCGGGGAUAACAGGCUGAUACCGCCCAAGAGUUCAUAUCGACGGCGGUGUUUGGCACCUCGAUGUCGGCUCAUCACAUCCUGGGGCUGAAGUAGGUCCCAAGGGUAUGGCUGUUCGCCAUUUAAAGUGGUACGCGAGCUGGGUUUAGAACGUCGUGAGACAGUUCGGUCCCUAUCUGCCGUGGGCGCUGGAGAACUGAGGGGGGCUGCUCCUAGUACGAGAGGACCGGAGUGGACGCAUCACUGGUGUUCGGGUUGUCAUGCCAAUGGCACUGCCCGGUAGCUAAAUGCGGAAGAGAUAAGUGCUGAAAGCAUCUAAGCACGAAACUUGCCCCGAGAUGAGUUCUCCCUGAGACUUAGAGUCUCCUGAAGGAACGUUGAAGACGACGACGUUGAUAGGCCGGGUGUGUAAGCGCAGCGAUGCGUUGAGCUAACCGGUACUAAUGAACCGUGAGGCUUAACCUU
rnacentral:rRNA from 1 species